rnacentral:rRNA from 1 species
AACGUAGGACGCAAGCGUUAUCCGGAGUUACUGGGCGUAAAGGGCGUGUAGGCGGCGCUUCAAGUUCGUCGUGAAAGACCCCGGCUAAACCGGGGGAGGUCGAGGGAGACUGAAGCGCUGGAGGACGGUAGAGGGACAGGGAAUUCCGGGUGUAGUGGUGAAAUGCGUAGAGAUCCGGAGGAACACCAGUGGCGAAGGCGCUGUCCUGGGCCGUUUCUGACGCUGAGACGCGAAAGCAUGGGGAGCGAACGGG